GCGGCGGGGUGCGCGUGGACUCAGCAGUCUUUGCUGCCCCCGGCUGUCUGCCAGGAGCCUCCAGCUCAGCUCCCUUGUCACACACGCCAGCUCUGAAACGUUCUCUUUUAUUAAAAACCAAAUUUGCCAAGCAUGAGUGAGCAGCAAAAAUGACCAAGAUCUGGUGCAAGAGGUCAGGUGGGCCCAUCUGGAAUCUCAAUCCGGCAUGCAAAUCUUCCCCAAAGAAGAACUGCAAAAAGUUCAUAAAAGAAUCGAAGAUCUCCAAAUCUCUCUUUCUUUCUCUGUCCAGGAGCUUUCUGCUGGGCUAGAAAACUCUUGAAGACUCUUAGGACCUUCUGAGCAUGCUCCACAAUCCAUUAAGAAGCGGGAGGGGAGAUCAUACACCCUUUAGUUGCCAGUUCAGGGAACCUACCAAUAGUACUGGUAGUAAUGGUGGUGGUUACAUAUGCACGUGCAAUCUAGUUAUGUUUACAUAUUAUGUAAACACAUAGUCCAGUGCUGUUCACAUGUUAGGUUCAACUUGUGUACAAUCUGUAUACAGUGUAUGCACAUACUGAUUUAUGUGCAUCUACAGUUACUCAUAUAUUAUGUACACUUUCUGUCUGUACCCUGCAUUUGAUGGGGGCUAUACCCAGGUUUGCUUUUUAAAGGCAUGUACACAAAGGCAUUUUUAAAGCACACAAAGGAACAUAGGAAGCUGCCAUAUACUGAGUCAGACCAUAGGUCCAUCUGAUGUGUUUAGAAAACCAAAGAAACUCCAUUUUUCCUAGAAAACCUUAUUUUAACUUAAAGUAACCUGGCCCAGCUCAGGGACAUCAUAGCCUCUCAUGAUUAACAUCAUUAUCUCUCUCCAGCUAAAUUACAUCUAUGAAACUUUCUAAGACAGCUAAGCUUCCCAAGGCCAGAAAACAGGAUCUAACCAAAUAAGGAGUAAUCACCAGAUGAACAAUGAAUCAUUCACAUGCGUACUAGAUACUUAGACCACUAUUUUAUUGCCACGUAUACUGUGUCUAGGGUGUCAGCAUCAUUUAGAUUGUUUGUAUAAAUGUAAGGUGCACCUGUAACCAAACUGUGAUCGGUUUGAGAGCAUGAGCCUACUGAUUACCUAUUGCUAACUGCAGAGCAAUAAAGCCUAAAAGAUUA